rnacentral:rRNA from 1 species
UGGGGAAUAUUGGGCAAUGGGCGAAAGCCUGACCCAGCCAUGCCGCGUGAGUGAUGAAGGCCUUAGGGUUGUAAAACUCUUUCGCUCGGGAAGAUAAUGACGGUACCGAGUAAAGAAGCCCCGGCUAACUACGUGCCAGCAGCCGCGGUAAUACGUAGGGGGCGAGCGUUGUCCGGAAUUAUUGGGCGUAUAGCGCGUGUAGGCGGCCUGGUAAGUCUGCCGUGAAAACCUGGGGCUCAACCCUGGGCGUGCGGUGGAUACUGCUAGGCUAGAGGAUGGUAGAGGCGAGUGGAAUUCCCGGUGUAGCGGUGAAAUGCGCAGAUAUCGGGAGGAACACCAGUAGCGAAGGCGGCUCGCUGGGCCAUUCCUGACGCUGAGACGCGAAAGCGUGGGGAGCAAACAGGAUUAGAUACCCCCGUAGUC